GACGAACGCUGGCGGCGUGCUUAACACAUGCAAGUCGAACGGAAAGGCCCUGCUUUUGUGGGGUGCUCGAGUGGCGAACGGGUGAGUAACACGUGAGUAACCUGCCCUUGACUUUGGGAUAACUUCAGGAAACUGGGGCUAAUACCGGAUAGGAGCUCCUGCUGCAUGGUGGGGGUUGGAAAGUUUCGGCGGUUGGGGAUGGACUCGCGGCUUAUCAGCUUGUUGGUGGGGUAGUGGCUUACCAAGGCUUUGACGGGUAGCCGGCCUGAGAGGGUGACCGGCCACAUGGGGACUGAGAUAGGGCCCAGACUCCUACGGGAGGCAGCAGUGGGGAAUAUUGCACAAUGGGCGGAAGCCUGAUGCAGCAACGCCGCGUGCGGGAUGACGGCCUUCGGGUUGUAAACCGCUUUCGCCUGUGACGAAGCGUGAGUGACGGUAAUGGGUAAAGAAGCACCGGCUAACUACGUG
rnacentral:rRNA from 1 species